GACAGAAGUGCCGAGCGUUAGGCGGAAUCACUGGGCUUAAAGCGUGUGUAGGCGGAUCUGUAAGUACCUUGUGAAAUCCCACGGCUCAACCGUGGAACUGCUUGGUAUACUGCGGGUCUUGAGCCACCUAGGGGCAAGUGGAACAAACGGUGGAGCGGUGAAAUGCGUAGAUAUCGUUUGGAACGCCAAUGGUGAAAACAACUUGCUGGGGGUGUGCUGACGCUGAGACACGAAAGCCAGGGGAGCAAACGGG
rnacentral:rRNA from 1 species